AUUUAUAUAGUUUAAAAAAAACUAUACAUUUUCAUUGUAUAAAUAAUGUAUCUACAUUUAUGAAUA
rnacentral:tRNA from 1 species